AUUAUAAAUCGUCUAAAUAUCUCUAUAGUGAAUAUCAUCUUAUGGAUUGAAUCAACUCCUAAUGGGCCGAAUUCUUCAAUCCGUUUGCUUCUUUCGGCCCAAUUAGAUUUAGGGUUUAUAUAUAAAUACUGCUUCAUCUCAUUUCACAAGUUGAUUCUACUGUCUUCACAUUUAUUCUUCCGCCGUUCGUCGACGCUUACCUGACAGAGAUCACUCGGACUUUUUUUGCAUCGUCGCCAUGAGAGCUAAGUGGAAGAAGAAGAGAAUGAGGAGGUUGAAGAGAAAGCGCCGAAAGAUGAGGCAGAGAUCGAAGUAGUGGCCGUUUUCUGAGGGAUGGUUUCCGACCUAGGGUUUUGGUUACUCUUUAGUUUUAUUUUUCUCAUGCGUAACUUGGGUUGUUUUUAAAUUGUUUUCUGAUCGAUACAUUUUGUUGUCUUGAAUCCAGAACUUGUUUUCCAGCCUUAUAGUUUUUAUCUACUGAUUUUUAUAUGCUA